AUACGGAGGGUGCAAGCGUUAAUCGGAAUUACUGGGCGUAAAGGACGCGUAGGCGGGUUGGCAAGUCAGAUGUGAAAUCCUACAGCUUAACUGUAGAACUGCAUUUGAAACUGCUAACCUAGAGUAUGGGAGGGGGAGAUGGAGUUAGUGGUGUAGGGGUAAAAUCCGUAGAUAUCACUAGGAAUACCGAAAGCGAAGGCGAUCUCCUGGAACAUAACUGACGCUAAGGCGUGAAAGCGUGGGGAGCAAACAGGAUUAGAAACCCUAGUAGUCC
rnacentral:rRNA from 1 species